rnacentral:rRNA from 1 species
AUUGAACGCUGGCGGCAUGCCUUACACAUGCAAGUCGAACGGCAGCACGGGAGCAAUCCUGGUGGCGAGUGGCGAACGGGUGAGUAAUACAUCGGAACGUGCCCAGUAGUGGGGGAUAGCCCGGCGAAAGCCGGAUUAAUACCGCAUACGACCUGAGAGUGAAAGCGGGGGAUCGCAAGACCUCGCGCUAUUGGAGCGGCCGAUGUCGGAUUAGCUAGUUGGUGGGGUAAAGGCUCACCAAGGCAACGAUCCGUAGCUGGUCUGAGAGGACGACCAGCCACACUGGGACUGAGACACGGCCCAGACUCCUACGGGAGGCAGCAGUGGGGAAUUUUGGACAAUGGGCGCAAGCCUGAUCCAGCCAUGCCGCGUGCGGGAAGAAGGCCUUCGGGUUGUAAACCGCUUUUGUCAGGGAAGAAACGCUCUGGGCUAAUACCCCGGGGUAAUGACGGUACCUGAAGAAUAAGCACCGGCUAACUACGUGCCAGCCGCCGCCGUAAAAC